CAAGAGACUGCUCAGGUCUCAGAAGGACCCUGAAUGGGGCCAGAAGGAAGUCAGGAGUCUUCAUUGUUUCUUCUCUUUAAAGCUAAUGUGAAACUAACCUGGUCUCACUGUGAGCUUCAACUAGCCUGGAGGCCACAGACAGCCAUAGGAUCUCUGGAGGCUACAGACAGCCACAGGGUCUCUGUGGCUGACCCCUCUGUACCUGUUUCAGAGGCUGGACUUGGACUUUGUGAGACAUGAGGUUAAGGGGUCACCU
rnacentral:lncRNA from 1 species